rnacentral:tRNA from 1 species
UAAAUUGAAGCCAAAAAGAGGCAUUUUAUUGUUAAUAAAAUUAAUGAAAUUAAUUUCCAAUUUAU